UAGGAUAGGUGGGAGGCUUUGAAGAUGGGACGCUAGUCUCAUUGGAGCCAAUCUUGAAAUACCACCCUGGUAUGUUUGAGGUUCUAACUCAGGUCCAUUAUCUGGAUCGAGGACACUGUGUGGUGGGUAGUUUGACUGGGGCGGUCUCCUCCCAAAGAGUAACGGAGGAGCACGAAGGUGUGCUCAGCAUGGUCGGAAAUCAUGCGUAGAGUGUAAAGGCAAAAGCACGCUUAACUGCGAGACAGACACGUCGAGCAGGUACGAAAGUAGGUCUUAGUGAUCCGGUGGUUCUGUAUGGAAGGGCCAUCGCUCAACGGAUAAAAGGUACUCCGGGGAUAACAGGCUGAUACCGCCCAAGAGUUCACAUCGACGGCGGUGUUUGGCACCUCGAUGUCGGCUCAUCACAUCCUGGGGCUGAAGCCGGUCCCAAGGGUAUGGCUGUUCGCCAUUUAAAGUGGUACGCGAGCUGGGUUUAGAACGUCGUGAGACAGUUCGGUCCCUAUCUGCCGUGGACGUUUGAGAUUUGAGAGGAGCUGCUCCUAGUACGAGAGGACCGGAGUGGACGAACCUCUGGUGUUCCGGUUGUCACGCCAGUGGCAUUGCCGGGUAGCUACGUUCGGACGGGAUAACCGCUGAAAGCAUCUAAGCGGGAAGCCUCCCUCAAGAUAAGAUCUCACUGGGACAUAAGUCCCCUAAAGAGCCGUUCGAGACUAGGACGUUGAUAGGUUGGGUGUGUAAGUGCUGUGAGGCAUUGAGCUAACCAAUACUAAUUGCUCGUGAGGCUUGACCAUAUAACACCAAAGUGGUUU
rnacentral:rRNA from 1 species